rnacentral:rRNA from 1 species
AAUGGGCGAAAGCCUGACGCAGCCAUACCGCGUGUGUGAAGAAGGCCUUCGGGUUGUAAAGCACUUUCAGUGGGGAGGAAAAGCGGGUGGCUAAUAUCCAUCGGCCGUGACGCUACCCACAGAAGAAGCACCGGCUAAUUCCGUGCCAGCAGCCGCGGUAAUACGGAAGGUGCGAGCGUUAAUCGGAAUUACUGGGCGUAAAGCGCACGUAGGUGGCUUGGUAAGUCGGAUGUGAAAGCCCCGGGCUCAACCUGGGAACGGCAUUCGAUACUGCUGAGCUAGAGUACGAAAGAGGGGGGUGGAAUUCCAGGUGUAGCGGUGAAAUGCGUAGAGAUCUGGAGGAACACCGGUGGCGAAGGCGGCCCCCUGGUUCGAUACUGACGCUGAGGUGCGAAAGCGUGGGGAGCAAA